rnacentral:rRNA from 1 species
AAUUAUGUAAAAAGCAUAAUUGAAACCACACACACCCAAUCCCAGCUGAUCUUGGAAGCUAAGCAGGGUUGAGCUUGGUUAGUACUCGGAUGGGAGACUACCUAGGAAGACCAGGUGCUAUAGAUG